GUCGAACGAACUCUGGUAUUGAUUGGUGCUUGCAUCAUGAUUUACAUUUGAGUGAGUGGCGAACUGGUGAGUAACACGUGGGAAACCUGCCCAGAAGCGGGGGAUAACACCUGGAAACAGAUGCUAAUACCGCAUAACAACUUGGACCGCAUGGUCCGAGUUUGAAAGAUGGCUUCGGCUAUCACUUUUGGAUGGUCCCGCGGCGUAUUAGCUAGAUGGUGGGGUAACGGCUCACCAUGGCAAUGAUACGUAGCCGACCUGAGAGGGUAAUCGGCCACAUUGGGACUGAGACACGGCCCAAACUCCUACGGGAGGCAGCAGUAGGGAAUCUUCCACAAUGGACGAAAGUCUGAUGGAGCAACGCCGCGUGAGUGAAGAAGGGUUUCGGCUCGUAAAACUCUGUUGUUAAAGAAGAACAUAUCUGAGAGUAACUGUUCAGGUAUUGACGGUAUUUAACCAGAAAGCCACGGCUAACUACGUGCCAGCAGCCGCGGUAAUACGUAGGUGGCAAGCGUUGUCCGGAUUUAUUGGGCGUAAAGCGAGCGCAGGCGGUUUUUUAAGUCUGAUGUGAAAGCCUUCGGCUCAACCGAAGAAGUGCAUCGGAAACUGGGAAACUUGAGUGCAGAAGAGGACAGUGGAACUCCAUGUGUAGCGGUGAAAUGCGUAGAUAUAUGGAAGAACACCAGUGGCGAAGGCGGCUGUCUGGUCUGUAACUGACGCUGAGGCUCGAAAGUAUGGGUAGCAAACAGGAUUAGAUACCCUGGUAGUCCAUACCGUAAACGAUGAAUGCUAAGUG
rnacentral:rRNA from 2 species